AUGAACGCUGGCGGCGUGCCUAAUACCUGCAAGUCGAGCGCACAGACGAGGAGCUUGCUCCUCUGACGUUAGCGGCGGACGGGUGAGUAACACGUGGAUAACCUACCUAUAAGACUGGGAUAACUUCGGGAAACCGGAGCUAAUACCGGAUAAUAUAUUGAACCGCAUGGUUCAAUAGUGAAAGACGGUUUUGCUGUCACUUAUAGAUGGAUCCGCGCCGCAUUAGCUAGUUGGUAAGGUAACGGCUUACCAAGGCAACGAUGCGUAGCCGACCUGAGAGGGUGAUCGGCCACACCGGAACUGAGACACGGUCCAGACUCCUACGGGAGGCAGCAGUAGGGAAUCUUCCGCAAUGGGCGAAAGCUUGACGGAGCAACGCCGCGUGAGUGAUGAAGGUCUUCGGAUCGUAAAACUCUGUUAUUAGGGAAGAACAAAUGUGUAAGUAACUAUGCACGUCUUGACGGUACCUAAUCAGAAAGCCACGGCUAACUACGUG
rnacentral:rRNA from 1 species